rnacentral:pre_miRNA from 1 species
CACUGGAGGCAGCGGUUCAUCGAUCUGUUCCUGAAUUUGUUUGUGUAAUUAUUUCACAAAACAAGAAUCGGUCGAUAAACCUCUGCAUCCAGC